rnacentral:tRNA from 1 species
GGAAAUAUAGCUCAGUGGUAAAGCAUCUGCCUAUUAAGCAUAAGGCCCUAGGUUCAAUCUCUGUUACUG